CCAAACAUCGAUUCCCUGCAGAAGAUUAUAACAAAGUUAGGCAUUGAUGUUUAACAAUUUUGUGUUGCGAGACCUUUGGUAGGGUGACUUACUUCUGUAUCUUGCAGCUGUGAAUGGGAACUCGGUGAUGGUUCCAUUUAUACCAGGUCCAGUAACAUACGAGUUAAUCUCAACAGUUGCGUCAGAGAAGAAGUCAAAUGGUUGAGAUACAAACUCGUUCUGAAACAGCUCCACGUAUACUGGGAGCUGAGACUUCUGCAGCCUCUCCACAACAUUGGUUUGCCCAGUGACGAACCCAUCAACGACCGGAAAGACUGAUGAUUUGCCGAUGACAACAGCGCUAGCGAACUUCUUUAUGUCUUCGAUAGCAGAGUCGAGAAUAUCACGGAUGGUUUCUUCAACUUUGUACACAGUCUCGUACUGGCUCUGCUUCUUGAAGUCAACUAGAACCGAGCUGUUUGUUGACUGAAUCAUGACUUUUGUGGUUGUUCUAUUGCUGUAUCCAGUCUCUGUGAGUGCAUCAAGAACCGCUUUGACCACGUCGAGCCCUUGCUUCUCUCUCAGGUAUGCUGCAUUCUGAGGGAGGCCAAAAAAGACAUGGCCAUGAGAAGAUUGUCAUGGUCCUAUCGGUGAAAUGUAAAGACAUAAAGAGAAACACGAGAGAACUCACUUCAACACUGAUCAAAACACCGGAGAGAGUGGUGGAGUUCUUUGCCAAGUUUAGGAACUCAGAGAGCGAAAGAAGCUUCCCAGGACACACCCUCCUAUUGUAUACCAGUACGCAAGGAGAAAGGGCCAGUCCGGUAAAGGGAAAGCCCAUGAGCAGUAGAAAGGAUUACGUGGAGAGGUUAAGGAAUAAAGAAGAAAGGUUGUUAGGGGACAAUAGCACAUGGUAUGUUUUUGCUGACGUUGGAGGAUCACGUGACGUGAGGAAGGUGCGAGGAAAGAGCCUCCAAGAGAGUAGUACUUAGUAUAAAUAUGCUAUAGACUAGAGAGAGAAAGGGCAUCAUUAGUUUGAUCAUCAUGUUCAUGGAGAGAUAGUAUCUCUAGUAUUUCUUUUGUACUCGUUCGUGUUGAUCAAGCAAACUCUUUUCAUUCAAUAAAAUCAGUCUUUACAUCUUUUGAAUCUCAUCACAUAACAACUUGGUAUCAGAGCAUUGUUUUGGACCUGGGAAAUUAUGGCACCAAAGAGAGUUGAAGGAGAACAAACCAUUGAGAUCUUACAACAAAACAGCAACAUAAUCGCAUCCUUGGAGCAGGGGAUGGAGAGGAUGACGAUCAUUGAGAAAGCCAUCGUCGCGAUGCAGCAACAGAUGCAGCAGCAGUCCAACAAGCUCAGCAUCUUAGAUCGCAUGGAACAGCGGUUCAACGAGGAGGAUGAGGACCGGAGAAGGAUGAUGGAAGCGAUUAUAGGGAAAGGAGUAGCGGCGGAAGGAACGUCGUCGGGAGGAGCAUUGGUGGGUGAGUCCGACGUGUUUGGAGGGGUAGAAAAACCCAUCGGAGUCACACACGCCGACGUUACUCCGACACAUGACGUUUCAGAGAGGAGAUCGGGAACGGGUUUGAACGUCGAGAGACCCGACGGCUGGUGGGUCGUUCGUAACCAAGCCCUGACCCGAAGGAUGGAAGUUCCGGAGUUUGACGGAGAGGACGUUGAGAGCUGGGUACUGAGGGUGGAACAGUACUUUGAGCUGGGGGAUCUCAACGAAGAAGAAACUUACUUCUGUAUCUUGCAGCUGUGAAUGGGAACUCGGUGAUGGUUCCAUUUAUACCAGGUCCAGUAACAUACGAGUUAAUCUCAACAGUUGCGUCAGAGAAGAAGUCAAAUGGUUGAGAUACAAACUCGUUCUGAAACAGCUCCACGUAUACUGGGAGCUGAGACUUCUGCAGCCUCUCCACAACAUUGGUUUGCCCAGUGACGAACC
rnacentral:lncRNA from 1 species